rnacentral:rRNA from 1 species
GACGAACGCUGGCGGCGUGCCUAAUACAUGCAAGUCGAGCGGAACUGGGGGAGCUUGCUCCUUCCAGUUUCGCGGCGGACGGGUGAGUAACACGUGGGCAACCUGCCCUGCAGAUCGGGAUAACUCCGGGAAACCGGUGCUAAUACCGAAUAGUUUGGCGCCUCUCCUGAGGCGCUACGCAACGACGGUUGCGGCGUUCACUGCAGGCUGGGCCCGCGGCGCAUUAGCUAGUUGGUGGGGUAACGGCCCACCAAGGCGACGAUGCGUAGCCGACCUGAGAGGGUGACCGGCCACACUGGGACUGAGACACGGCCCAGACUCCUACGGGAGGCAGCAGUAGGGAAUCUUCCGCAAUGGACGCAAGUCUGACGGAGCAACGCCGCGUGAGUGACGAAGGUUUUCGGAUCGUAAAACUCUGUUGUGAGGGAAGAACACGUACCAACUAACUAUUGGUACCUUGACGGUACCUCACCAGAAAGCCACGGCUAACUACGUGCCAGCAGCCGCGGUAA